UAAUUCUAAUAAAUUACCUCUCUAGUAACUUAAAUCUAGAUCUUAAUUAGAUUUAAAGUAUUUUUUUCUGUAAGAUAAAGAAAAACAAACGUUCAUUUUUCUCUCCAUUUACUUAAGACGUGUUCAAGUUUUCAUAUUUCAUGUCUGAUAAAUUGCUAGUAGAUAUUGGCUAAACCCUCUAAAACUGGUUGGUAGUAAAUUACAGAAAAAUGGGCAACCAAUAUGAAUAUUAAAAAUUCAGACAUAGAGUUGCAACCUCUUUUUAUUACAAUUCUUCUGUCUUCCAUCUAUCACUUCCCUGAUAGAACCUCUUAAUUUGUCAUUCUACUGAACCAGAUUACAGUAUCUUCCCCUUUAAUGAAAACAACGUUUCCAUUCACUAGAUGAUGUAGCUGUUACAUAAGCAUUCCUUAGCAUAAAUGAAGCAAAGACACGUUUGAUUCAUCAAUAGAGGAGCUGAUACAGAAAAACAGAAGCAACCAUGGAAAGGCAAAUUGCAGUUUUCAAGUCAGACUCAUAAGAUGAAUCCUUCGAGAAAGCAGUAUCAGUGUGCACCAGUGGGAGCUACGUGGAGGACUAAGAAUAAAAAUCUCCGGAUCAGCCUAGUUGUUCCUAAAAGCAGUCUCGUCAACCCUGAGGCAUAGGGUGUGGAACACAGGAUUAUGAAAUUUCAAAGAUCGAUAAGGGAAUUCACUUUUGUUUCUGGGAACUUGAGGCUUCUGAACACAAAGAACAACAAAAUAGCUCAGCCUCAGUCCGAGGAAUUUCUUUCCUACAAUUGUCUGAUUCUUUUAGAACAAGGACCAACAAAUCGUGUGAUCCUAAACAGGCCUGCGUUUCCACCUCUACAAAACGAGGGAAAUUGAUCAGACGACCUGCAAGAUACCUCCUAAGUCUUAAAUUUUACCAUUCUGUUACUUUUCCCACUCUGAAUAAGAUUAGAAGGAACAGGGUCAAAAUGCAACAGGAAGCAAUGAUUUAAUUGAACAGACAUUCGUUGGUCGUCUAUUAUUGGCUUAGGUUCUGUGCUAGCUCUAGAGUCGGGCAUAGGUGGGACAUGGUGUCUGCUCACAGCCCAGGAAAGAAGGUGCAUGUGAAAGCAAACAACUUUAACAAAGGACUACAUGCAGGAAUAAGAAUUCAAGUGCAAGAGUGGCGGGAGACGAGAACUGACCAAAAAGACAGGGGUUAUAACAUGACGGCAAUGGCCCUUGAAUUUUCAGCAAGGAAAACGUGUGAUCAGAGUUGAGCUUAAACAAGUAACAGUCCAAGGUGUACAGAGGAAAUUGUGAUGAGCCAGCUAGACAUGCACUUAUUUAUUCAGACACUUCUUGAGUACCCACUGUGUUAGAUAAGGAAAAACUUCUUGCUCUGAUUUUACGGAUGAGACGUGGAAAAUGUAUUAUAUUUAACUUUUUUUUUAAGGAAGGGAAAUGGUGUCUGCCCAGGCUCUCUAAAGGGGCAAGAAUAAAGGAGUCUUCCAGUUUUUUUUCCUGCCCAAUGGUUUUGUUACAUCAUAUUCCCUUUCCUUCAGGAUAAUAAACCAGCUGUUUAAAGUUAAA